rnacentral:lncRNA from 1 species
AUUGCUUUACCACACAACCCACAUGCACACAAACACAACAGUAAGUAAAUGACUGUUAUUAAUGAAGCAAGAAAUCAAAUUAAAUCAGAGGACGACAGGAUAAACAGAAAUCGAACCAGUAAAAGUGACUUUAAACUUAGACUUAGGUGUUUGCUCAUAACCCUAACCCUAAUUUUAAUGUAUUAAAAUACGGAUUGAACCUUUAAAUUCUGAGCGUGCUGACAAGCUGCAAUCAAGUGCAUCAGUCUGAAGGAGGUAAGUGACCUGUUUUUCUACUUGGACACCUUCCCGUAAAAGUAGUCUGAUGUUUAGGACAUCAGGGUCCGCCGGGUCUAUAAAUUAACCUCUACACUCCACUGACUCGCCGGCUGUGCCUGAACACGGCGUUCGCCUCGACUCCUGCGUAGAGUGACGUAUCCCGCGUUCCGCCGACCAAAGCAGAACGUGGCCCUUGUCUAUUUUUGGCUCCAGUGUUUACAUACACACCUUAAGUACUUGUUGGAUCUGAUCCCAGCGGCCUGUUGCCAAGAUCCGUCAUGGCAACAGGUUUUACUACCAGCUCAGAGACAAACAGAGAGAGAGAGAGAACACAGUGCGUCUGUUUCUUAUCCGAACUGAGGUGAGGCCACGUGAAUGAGCAAACGAGAAGCAUUCACUGUGACAGUAUUCCAGCUCUGCAGGAUGCUCGUACCUACACUUUGCAUGCUUUGUUCAGAAAUAUGUCAUAACCUCGAUUUCCCGCCGGGAUCAUGCAAAUAAAACCGUGAUGCAGACGCUACAAAGAGAUCGUAGUCUCAAAAAUAGCCGAAGACUGCCGCGUAAGGGAAUGUGUGCUGCGUAGGCCCGCUUUGAAGGUCAAGCCGAGUUUAUUUGUACAGCUCAUUAUCACAUGAAGUCUCUCAGGGGGGAACUACAGAGGCCUGGAAACGCUUCGGUUCUACCCAGACAAGGAAAAAGUCCUUGAGGAAUAACAGCAGCGAAAAGGCCGCCUGUAAUCCUUCCUGUUCAUCUUUUUGACUUGAAAACUGUUUAUAUGUCAGGAAAAGACUCUAACUUGGCCUGAAUUCUUACUAGAUUAGAGAAAAAUCAAAAUCCUUGAUAGUGAUUUAAAACUGAAGAGCAGCAGAGAGACAGGAGGAAGCAAACAAAACCUUGACAGACGAAUAAAGGUCGUACAAAAGACGUUAUUUCCUAUUGUUUGUAAAAGGGACAGUUUUUUAUGUUUCGAUUUACUUCUUUUUAUCCUUUUGCUAACACAUUAUGUCAAUUGUUUUGAUACAUUAAAGGUCAACCGGGUCACUGACUGUUUAAUAAAUUGGUUUUCAUGCUACGUUUCGGUUACCUCGGAAAUUGGAUGUCAGACCUGGGAAUGACGUUAAACCCGAGUUGACGGCAUUCCAGUAAACAAGUUAGUAAACCAAGAUGGAUGCCUACUAAUAGCUGUUAUUAACAAUAGUCAGUUGUUGUUAGCAGUUGUCAGCUGUUGUUAGUUGUUGUUAGCAGUUGUCAGCUGUUGUUAGUUGUUGUUAGUUGUUGUUAGUUGUUGUUAGCUAUGCCAGUUGUUAAAAAAAACGCAUAACACAGUAUUUUUCUCAUAUAAACACCGUAGCACCGUAUUCACAGUUAGACGUUGAGCAGUACAACAUAAACCACUUAUUUAAUUUCACAAAAACAAAACAGAAAUUUUAAUAAAUAAUGCAUAACGAAAGAUUUCACUGUUACUCUUUACUGUUGAUGCACCGCGCUGCCAUCUCGGAUUGCGACGUUGUCGUCAAGUCGGGGUUAGUGAGGAUCGGCCAACUUUCCAAGUCGGAAAUCCAACUUCAGGAGGGCGUUCCAGAUGAAUUUUAUGACCCAGAAAUCCCGAUUUCCAAGUAGGACUAUAACGCAGCAUAAGUAAGGAGCAGUUUUAAAGUAGGGUAAGACGAAGAAGACGCACAGAUAGCGAGUUAGCUGUAGCGGUGCUCUGAAAGACAUUUAGACAAAUCUUAAAAUAAAUGUACCAAGAUGAGCGGUGAAAAUACACAGAACAUUUUUACUUAAAAACUGUUGCUGUUAUGAUUUUAAUAUUUCAAAAUUAAAGCUGUAAAUGAAGCAACCUAAAUGCCAAAAUAAAAUCCCCUCCAAAACCGUGAUAAUGUGAGUUAGUCUCCUCUCGUUAGAAUGGUAAUGUUUCCCCCUCGUCUGGUCUUUCCUUAAUUUGAACAAUUGUGUUUUUUUAUCACUAAGUUUUUGAUUGUGAUUUUUUAAAGCCAUUUUUUAAAACUAUGAGGUAAAAAUCUGAUAUUGAGAGAGCCAUAGAUGAAGUUAUGCACACAAAAAUCCUAUGAUAAAUAAACAACAGGAGCUUCUUGUCCUCAAAAGCCACCAUCACCUCCCAAGUGAGGCAAAGGUGUGCUUUAACCUGAAAUCAUACAGGUAGAUAUUGUCCUACACCCCUAUUUCUACACACUGUAGAAAGAGAGGAUUCAAGGACAGCUAACUUCUCCUUUGACUGGCAAACUCCCACAUCUGUGACAAACUAUGAAGCGAAACAUGCUGGCGACCCCUGUGAGGUUAGGAUGAAUAAUAAUAAUGUUAAUGUGAUAACAAAGUGAGAGCGUCUUUUUCCAAACACUCAGUAAGAAAAUGUUUACUUAUCUCAGAAUUUACUAGAAGUGAUUUAUGUAUGAACACAAAUUUCCACAUUAGCUGAAGCUUGGCGUUGAACAGACUUUCCUCUGCCAACAAAGUCUGUGUAAUGUCAGACUGAGAUGAUGUGUGAACAUGACAGGUACUUGUAGUUUUAUAUCAAACAAGUCUGCAUCAGGUGUGUAUGACUUUGAUAAAGCCGACCAAAGUGUUUUUGCUUUUUAUACCUACAAGCAUACAAUCUGCACACUACUUCUCACUCUUAAAAUCUCAUUAUUCCCAAAAGGAACCUGGUUCUCUGAGAAAAUUGCUUGAACUAGCAGAGAAUCAUUAUCAGCAUGCAUUAAAUGCCAAUGAGGUUGUUCAUGAAACAGACUGAAAUUCAUAUUGGUGCAUUUUAGUGACAUACAAAAGGAAACAAAACCAUCAGCAACCAGAUUUAUGAUUUUUAUAAUAGAAUUUUUUAAUGCUCAAAACUGGAGUGAGGGGGUAGGUGUCAGCUGUGCAGCUUUUAAUGUCAGCCGGAUGAGACUUUUUUUAGGUAAAGCAUGUAGAGAAUGUGAUCAUGACAGUGUGUUUUGUCUAAAUUCGACAAACUGAAAGUUCGCUUAAGUUAUUUUGGUGGUAUGGCUCUAUUUAAAGUGCUUCCCGUCCUUCCACAUACUUAUAUUAUGUGCAUACAUGAGAAGCCAAGGUGGGGAGAGCAGCAGCAGAACAUAACAGGACUCAAUGACGAUAUAACUGUCAGCGUAGAAAAGGAGGGGCUGGGUUUAAGUUGGGUUACAAAGUUUGCAGAAGAAGCACGAAGUUGAGGCAGUUUAAACAGAAAGUUUGCAGCCUGCCUGAACUAACACCACGCUCAGUUUAACUUGACAGGGAUGCAAUUGAACACAGAUCCAAUACAAAGCAUGAAAAAAAGUGAUGUGCUGCACAGAUUUCAUGGCUUUUGCUUGUUUUCAACUCGAGCUUCGUGUCUGGCUUUUAUUGGACACAAUGAACUUUAAAAAUGUUAAAAGCGUGAUAUUAAAUGGUGUAAGGUCCACAUAGUUAACCACAACUCUGUUCUGUCUGUCUAAAAAUAGCUUUAAACUACAAAUAUGGCCAUGACAGAGGCGGUGUAAAAAAGUCUAGAUUAUCAGACCUAAACGUCUUGCUAUCAUGAAUCCUUUUGUCUGUACAAAGUUUCAUCUGAUCGCGACUGAAAACAACUUUGAGCUUUUAUUUUUUUAAAACUAUGGCAUCUCUUAUCUACCGAAUACUUUUACUUGUAUCUUGACAUGACACGCAUGUGCAGUAUUUACCCAAAAACUCGUUCCACUAAAAAAAAACGUGCUGCUCACUGCAAAACUAUGCUCAAGAGAAUGUAAACAACAGCUCUGUCUGGCUUUGUGCUAAAAAUUGCUUCAUCUGAAUCAAACCGAGCAGCUGUGAGAGGAUGGGAACAAACAGAGGAGCUUUUUUUUUUUCCCUUGAGAAUCGGAUUUGUCUUUUAUAACGGCUUAAAUAUGAUUUUCAAAAACUGCAAAAUGAGAGCCUCAGUAGUAAAGUUUCUACACAUUCCCGAGCUCGAACACCACUGCUUCUCUAACCUGUGGGAAAGCAGAACAUUGGGUCUGUAAAGCUGCUGGAGUAAAAAGAUGAUCUCAUUACACUCAGACAGCAGGCCACAGGUCUGAGCAGAGAGCAGGAGCUGUCAGCCUGUCAGGAGCCGUGUCCGGGCGUCUGGACACUGUCAGCCUCUACUAUGAUUUCACUGCUGGAAACAACCCGAGUAUCAGAGAGCAGACAGAGGAGGACUCUCUGCUGUCAGUUUUCUGUUUUCUCUUCCAUCUUUAAACAUUGUUAGAGCACAGGAACCGGGUUGAAAUGACGCUUACCUCAACCAGCUGACAAAGAGGAAUGCUGUUUUUGUUGUGCAGAAGAACAUCUCAGAUAUCAUCUCUAAAAAUAUGCCGUCAGACUUCACGUGAAUGUGUCAUCGUUUUGUUUAUCAAAACAACCCGUUUGCAUGGCAUUUGCAUUCAACUAACCCAGGUGUGAGAGUCUCGGAAGGCUCAAAAUUUACCGCAAUGUUGUACUGUCGCAUGUAAAUUAGCAGGAAAAACUUCAAUAUGAUGGUUUAAAGGUCCUGUGAGGAGUUUUUGGAUGUCAAUGACAUAGACGAAAAAGACUUUUUCUGAUAUACAAAAGCAAAAAAGACCAGCAGGGACAGGACUCAUGGUUUUUAUUUGUUAUUGUGAAAAGGGUGCAAGGGGGGAGGUGUCAGCUGAAAAGACGGCCCUGUUUUCACCUCGUCUAUGCAAGAUAUUCACAGUUUGACAGUUACAAGUCACCAGGUUACGAUUUUUGAUAGAAGAUAUCACUUCAGUUCAUAGAAACGUACCUUUUUAAUCUCGCUUUUAACUAAAUUUUAUAUGAUUGACUUAACUUAAAGUUUUUUAGCUUUUAUCUCCUUCUAGUUUUAAUGACAGGAUUGUCUUAUAUUGAGCUAUUUUGGUGCUCUUAUUUUAGUAUUUUUUUACUGUUGUUUUUACUUCAUUUUAUUUCUUAUUUCCUAAAUUUCAUUUUAUUUAACUUAGUUUUUAGAUUUUAAAAAUCUAAAAAGUUUUUAUGAAAUUGCGCCUUUUUCAAGUUAAUGUAUUUUAAUACAUGUUUCCGUUUUGCUUAGAUCACACGGUGGAAAUGAGGGGUUGGGUUGGUGUAGGUUUGGUUAUUCUUUGUUUCUUUUAUGUGCUCUACAAGGGAAAAAAAAAAAAGAUGACGAGGUUAGGACAGACUCAUUUGUCCACAGGGGAUGCCAAAGUUUGCACAGUCCAAAAGAGUUUUGACCUCCGCCUACUUUGUUAAUGUUUAAAAAUAAAAAUCUUCAUGGAAACUUUAAAUAUAUUUUCCUUUGGCGUAACUGUGGAAUUAAAAUUACAGGAAAAGUCUAGACAAAAGGAAGUUAUUCUGCCGUUUACACCCAGAGUCCUGGCUGUCGGUGUGUUCAGGUAUUAGGUGUUUAUUGUUGUCUAUUUUCCACCGCAGGACCUAAUCAUAGGCAAUUAUGCAUCUAUUUUAGGUACGUAGUAGUUGUCGUUUGAGGAGGCGGGGUUUAGCUCCACUGUAAUGCAGCACUAUGACUUGACAGAACUAUUGUUUAGCGUCCUAAUUAAAGCUUUGGAAACGUUCGUGAAAUAAAACAAAUAAUUUAUUCCAGGUUGUAAGGUCACAUGCACUGAUGUCAAUGGAAAUGUGAUUGGACACGCCCCCAAAGUUUGAAGAACGGUUGUCAUAUGAUGGCAAAUGACCUCAACAUUUUAUCUUCCCGUGGAAACUAAAUGAGACACAAAACUUUAAUAUCUGGAUUUUUAAAAAAAUGUUUUAGGUCAAAUUUACAGAAACUUUAAAGACGGAUAAAAACAAACAGAGGAAAGUUUAGCCAAGAUGGAAAAUGUUUGAAAAAUGUUACAAAACUGAGUCUUACAGCGCAGAGACAUGGGAAUAAUGAGACACAUCUUGAAAUCAGAUCCUAGAUUGAACACUCUCUUGCUCACCCCUUCACUCGGUUAAGCUCCUGUAAUGCAUGCUGAGUAUGAUCCCUUAUUUGUCAAGAUUUUACCAUCAAAAAUACCAAUAAACUCAGAUUUUAUCACACACAAGAAUAACCACUUUCUUUUUCUUUACCUCCAAACCCCUAAAUUUAAAAGUUUGUCCAUUCUGAGUUACUGUAGAAACAUGCCAGGGAAAGAUGGAAGAUACAAAAAGCUAAGACUAGGUUUACUAAAUCAAAAUGAUCUUUAUAAUCAGGCGAUUACACUCAAAUUUAAACAUUCUUGUGAAGAUUGGAUUCUAUGUUGUAAAAGCUACAAAAACUACACACUGCACCUUUAAGGUGAAUCAAGAACGCAGGUUUGCUUUGCUCCCCUUUUUGAAAAUAAAUUUUGAUCGUAAUGAUGCGAAUUUAAUUAUGCAAUGUUUACUCAACCUGUAAUGUUUUAAGAUCAUUAUUUUAAUAUUGAAAACUGAUAAAAUAAGUCAAAUAAAUCAUUAGAAGCGCGGCGUAAACUCUAACGGUGCAGUCCCUCUCCUCUCAGGGAGUUUCCCGACAAAGUAACGCUAACUUCGUGUUUUUUCGCACGUCUGCUGUCUGGUCUGUAUUGUUUCCACCUGACCCGGCUGUUGUUUCAGUUAAAGCUCUCUGUAAUCUCACCUGCUUAACACAAUAUUACAUCAGACAGACAAAGUUAACAACUAAAGUGGAGUAUUUAGCGGCUUAAGAGCGAGACGUUUCUUUAAGGAUCUGAUGGAGAUUAACAGAGUAAAGUCUGGAAUUACCUCAGAUAUAAACGUGACUGAAUGAAUGGAUGAGUCUGUCCCUGCUACAUCUUUAAAAAAGAUUAUUAGCUAACAUGUCAGGUAUUAGAUUUAAAGGUGUUAGUGUGUGUACACUGUGUAGAGCCAUUUGACUUUGACUUGAAUAGACAUUGAAACAAGAAGAGUUGACUCAAGUCUUCAUAAAGUCCGUCUUUGGCCUCACGUGCAUUUAUGAGCAGAACAACAAACAAUAUCUGAGCCCAUCAUCCUCCAUCAGACAAAGAUUUACCGUGUUAUCAGUUCCGUGUUUUCACUCAAAUGCAAAUAUGUGAUUGUAGAGAUUAAACGAUUAAUUCAGCAACGUUUUCCCGAGUCACGUUGAAAAGCAAACUCGGGAGCAGACCGCGGUUUUCUCUACUUCUACUAUUACGUUUUAUACGACCGUGAUGGCCCUCGUGGUUUAAGCUCAUGUUGUUUGGUUCUUGCGUUGCUUGAGUUCUUUAGUUUUAUUGUUGUUUGGAUUAUACAGCUUUUGACUUAUCUUAAUUUAUUUGGCGUUUUCUAUUCGGAGUAACCAUAAGUGGGCUAAUGUGGUUUCUUUUCUCAAGUACAGUAACCUACUGUUCCUAUUUUACCUCUCCUGAACCGUUGAGUGACUUUGACCUCAUUUGUCGCUCUGAUUUGUUUGUGUGACAGUUCUUAAAGUUAUUCUUCAGCUGCAGCCCUGUAGACAUCAAACUGAUCCCGAGUCCUUUUCCAAAGUGGAGGCUGGUUUACCAGGUUCAAGAGUUUUUCUGAAGAGCGUCUCUGUGGCGUCUGUUUAAAGCCAGGGAGCUUAUGUCUCGAAAGGUUGCUGCAGUGUUUGGAAACUGGAGGUUUGAUCCAAAGAGAGUGAAGUCACAAUAAAUAACUUUUAUUUCUGUUUUUUAUCUGUAAAAUCCUGUUAGUCUCAGACCUCUCCUACCCUCUUUAUUGUCACAGUCCAACUAAAGACACUGGGGGAAAAAUCACAAGGAGACGAGGGACUCACAGAACAGGCUGACAUGCGCACACAUCGACACACAGUGAACCAACCAGUACAGAGGGGAAGACAGGAGCUGCGUCUGAACUGCCCGCUCGGAUACUACAUGCUAUUGCUACGUGCUACUGCUAGAUCCUACUCCUACAUACUAAAAACGUUGGCCCAAUUCGGA